rnacentral:rRNA from 1 species
CCUACGGGAGGCUGCAGUGGGGAAUAUUGCGCAAUGGGCGAAAGCCUGACGCAGCGACGCCGCGUGAGGGAUGAAGGUCUUCGGAUCGUAAACCCCUGUCAGCAGGGAAGAACGGUCACUGUGCUAAUCAGCAGUGAAUUGACGGUACCUGCAAAGGAAGCACCGGCUAAUUCCGUGCCAGCCGCCGCGGUAAUACGGAGGGUCCGUGCGUUAAUCGGUAUUACUGGGCGUAAAGCGCUCGUAGGCGGUAUGUCAAGUCAAGGGUGAAAUCCCCGCGCUCAACGUGGGAACUGCCUUUGAAACUGGCAGACUGGAGUGUGUGAGAGGAUAGUGGAAGUCGAGGUGUAGGAGUGAAAUCCGUAGAUAUCUGGAGGAACAUCAGUGGCGAAGGCGACUAUCUGGCACAUAACUGACGCUGAGGAGCGAAAGCGUGGGUAGCAAACAGGAUUAGAUACCCUUGUAGUC